rnacentral:piRNA from 1 species
UGAGACAAAACAGUCUACGUGANAGGGGAU